rnacentral:piRNA from 1 species
UGGACAAAGAGGACCUUGAACUGGCUUUU